CAGGGAGAUCAGGAGGAGGCCAGGGGUUAAGUUUGGGGAUGACUGUGCUGUUUUAUCCCUCUUCUGCCUAUGCUGAGGCCCCUUACCCUGUAGCAGCCCCCUUCACCACUGGGGGCCCCAAGCUUCAACCCAGCCCCAGGGCUCAGUGUCAGUCACCUAUCCUGUGGCCUCGCACCUGGAUCCCAGACCCUUCGUGGGACCUGCAGGGUGGGGUCCUGACAGGCUUAUGGGGUUGCAGGGUCACAUGGUCAUGCAGCUAUAGAGCUGGCAAUGGCCAACACCUCUCCCCAGUCUGUCUAGUUUGGAGCCCCUCCCUGCCCUCUGCCUAGCUGUGCCUCCACUGGGACAGACAUCCCCCCUAUCUUGCCCCACUGGGUGUGCCUUCUGGGGACCCCACCUGUGUGGGUGGCUGGGUGAACCAGGAAUGGACUUGAGGCCUCAAAGGUCAGUUGCUGCUGCCAGGGCUACCUUUGAGCCUUUGAAAGUGCGCCCUGGACAUGCUCUGUGCCUCCCUCCCCACAUCCUCACUCAUUUCCUCCCAUAUUGGUGAGUCACCCUCCUUUCCCACCCCAUUUCUGCCUUGCCCUACAGCAUAGGGAGCACCAUGGUCUGUGCGAGGGGCCAAAGGCUGCUGAAUCCAUUGUGAUAAAUCCCCAAAGCCAACCCAGCAUGGGUCUGAGGGUGCUCCCACCCUCAGGUGGUGCUUCCUUCAAAGCCCUGGCACUUACGGGAUGACCUUGAUGUCUUCCUUGCCAUGGAGGAUAUAGUCGAUGACUUUGUAGAAGACGAUUUCCUGUGAAAUGGACCACAGCAGUCGUGAGGUGCUCCCCGGGCCAGCUUCCCAGCGGGAGCCUCCCUGAGGGGUGAGAGGAGCCACCCAGGUGCCCCACCCAGACACACACAUGCAUGUGCAUACACAGCACGUUCCACACCCAGAGUUAUACACAACCCUCACGUGCACACACACGUGCAGACCAUCAAUGACACUUGUGCAACACACAUUACACACUUACCUUCAUUCUGUCUGUGUCCUACUCAAGCCCACACACAAACUGGGUCCCAUACCCUUUCAUACAUGUGCAUACAGCCACCCAGGCCUGCAUGCGUGCGCACACACACACACACACACACACACAAACUGUGGCAGGUCAUGGUCACAGCCCAGCCUUGUGCAGGAACUCGUCUAUACACUUGACACACAACCCUGUGAGGAGGGCACAGUUAGCAGGUGGGGAGACUGAAGCAUGGCCAGGCUGGGUGGUGUGUACCAGGUUGGAUGCACACACGAUAAGGGGCACAGGUAUCUGCCCAUGUUCCCAUGCACUUUUCAUAUUGCCUCUGUCAUGCACAUGCACACGCGUGUGUACACACAUACACAUGGCCCCAUUAGGGAGAAGCUACAGUGGUUUCAAGGGGCAGCGGAAGGACCACCCAAUCAGGACGGAUGCUGGUUAUUCAAACCAGGCUGAUGACACUUAUUGGGAGACCAGCACCUGCCCCACCUGGCCCAAGAGCAUGGGGUGGAGUCAGGCGGGACAGCAGACAAGCACUCAGAGCAGUCAGGCAGCCAGCCGGCCCCAGUGGUCUGUUCCCACCUCCCCACACCCUUCCUAAAACCCUCCCUCUCCCACCCUGGGUCAAGCUGGGACAGACCCCUUCCUGCCCUGGAACUUGAGUUGGAGUCAGGGAAACCACAGUGUGCCAAGUGGACCUGUCCCCCCUCCACCAUGACUCACGCGGCCAUCGGGCGUGCGUGGGCCUGAGUACGGCUGAGCUUCUCCCAUCAGCACAGGCCACACAUCAAAGAAUUCCUGAGCCAGGAAGAGAGGGGAGAGAGUUAGUGAGUCAGUCUGGAGCAGGUCAAGCCUGGCCAGGAGGCUGGUGGGACAGCGGGGCCUCACCUUCUCCUUGGUCAUGUCCAGGAGGCCCACUGAGUACCGGUCACAGUUUAGAUAGGCCCGCACAGUGUAGAAGGCCUUGUGGAACUGCCUCUCGAUGUCUGUCAGCUCCUCAAACACCUUGUUAGCUGACCACAGCAGCACCUGGUGGGGGGGCACACUGGUGAGCCUGUGGUGCCAUGCGCGCACACACACACACACACACACACACACUUGUGUGACCACAGCAGCACCUGGGUGUGAACUGUCACACCAAACAUACACAGGCACACAUGCAGCUGACCACAGAGCCCCAGAGGGACACUGGUUGAUGGUGCCUCUCCCAACAGCAUCUCCACAGAGUGCCAUCACCCAGGAUUUCAUCCAAGCACAAGGCUAUCUGCUCCUUGACCCAGGUGCCCUGAAACCUACUGGAAGGUAAGCCCUCCAAGCUUCGGCCGCGUCGCGGACCCUCACUGUCUCGUGCUGCCUUGGGCUGGGUCAGUGAGUGAAAGAGUGAAUGCAUUAGAAUUGAAAGGUAAAGCUUUGACCAGCCUUCCCUUAUCAGCCUUGAGAAGCUGGGUUUUGAGAACACGGGGUCAUUGUGUUCUGGGUGUCACAAAGCAAGUUGAGAGCAACAGGUCACUGACAUGCUCCACGAGGCCCUGGCCAGACCCUCCCCGGGACGUCGACACCCCAACUGAACCCUGGCUGCUGUCCAGGGUCACUGACCAGGCUCAGAUGAACCCUGUGGGGCUCUCCCCUCUCCUGCCCGGGCGGAAUUUCCCUAUUUCCUCAGCCAGGGCCCAAAGGCAGGUGACUCCAGCCUGUGCCACCCACCACCGC
rnacentral:lncRNA from 1 species